rnacentral:rRNA from 1 species
UGCCAGCAGCCGCGGUAAUACGAGGGGUCCAAGCGUUGUUCGGAAUUACUGGGCGUAAAGCGGGUGUAGGUGGACUGAUUAGUCGGAUGUGAAAGCCCUGGGCUCAACCCCGGAAGUGCAUUGGAAACUGGCGAACUUGAGUACGGGAGAGGAAAGUGGAAUUCCGAGUGUAGGGGUGAAAUCCGUAGAUAUUCGGAGGAACACCAGUGGCGAAGGCGGCUUUCUGGACCGAUACUGACGCUGAGACGCGAAAGCGUGGGGAGCAAACAGGAUUAGAUA